AGAUUUAUUUAUUUUUUCAAUAUUUUUCUAGCAUCCGAAGCGAACGGACGUGCGCGUUUGGUCUGGGUUUACGCUAAAAGUUUUGUUUUCAAUUGUAGCUCCAGUCCAGAAAGAGCUACAUUAGCUACCAUUCAAUUCAACAACGGUGCUUCAUCGUUCUUCUAGCGUUUGCAAUACGGAUGUGAUACGACGAUAGAGUGCGUGCCUGUAAAAUUGUGUCUGUGAAUGUGUGUGAGAGAGGGAAAGAGAGUGGUUUGGUUUUCCAUUUUCAACCAAGGUAGAAUUUUACUCAAAAAUCUAUCCAAAUAGUACACGUGAGUUUAAAAAAUUUACAAAGAGGUGUAUCUUGUUCGUGUGUGCGUCGUGUAUUUCUGAAGGAAAACCGUCAAAAUAGUCCCGUGCGGAAAAGUGAAUCAAAUACUCCCGAAACACCUGAAGCAGGGUGGUGUCCUCCCAUUUUCACCCUCGCAUCCUUUUGUUCUAUCAUCUAAGUGUGGUGUGAAAAACGCCCGGUAAAGAAAGUGUCAAAAUUUUCCACAAGUGUGCGUAAACCGUGUGAAAGAAAAGUCCCCAAAACCCCCGGAAAAGUUGUGUUGUGCUGUGUGUGUGUGUGUUUGUGUGGUGUUGCGCGGCUGUACGUGUACCUACACAGGAUGAUUUGAAUGUUGCUGGAUAUUUUUAGCGCGCAUGGAGAAAAGUGCUGCAGCGGUCCACCAGUGCAUGUGUUUGUGAUGAUGGUUGCUUGCACCUUUCCCGCAACGAAGCUAGUUUCAUCACGGUGGUAGAAGAUAUCUAGCAUUCAAUAUUCUCUCAAACCCUGGUUACGGAAAACAACCGAAUUUGAAGCAACAGCACCCUUAGUGCGGAAAGGAAAUUAAUCAGCUGAAACACCCAUACACACGAAACACGAAACACGUAAAAAGGAAACUCUCACCUACUGGAGCAGCAUUGUGAACGGCAAAGAAUGUGAACGAACAGAUGAAGGAAAGAACAGCGACAGCUUGGUGCACGGUGCUGCGGCCACUGCAGUGAGGAAGACAUCUUCUGCCGGAGCAUUGCACUGCAGCAGAGAUGAAUAUGAUGCUCGCAACGGAAACGACGAAGUCGACGUUGGCAGCGGCCGGUUCCAGAUAGGCGCGGCAUCAGCUGACACUUGGAUAAAAAACUAUCUCGGAUGCUCCUAGGCUAGAAAGCGAAAGCAAUCGCCGUGACAUUUCUCGCCCAGCUGACGUCUUCGAGUCGUCACUCUUUCCUCACCUCACUGUCACUGCCAAAAAAGCCGGU